AAGUUAGGGAUAUUGUGAGAGACUCAGUGGAUUUCAUACAUACAGUCUUUGUUUCACUUCAGAGAUUUCUGGGACAGGGAGGCUAUUGUAUUGGGCUGAUAGACACACCUCAUUUUGUGUUUUCCAUGUAAUGGUCUCACUGUGUACAGUGUACCUUACAUAUUGGGGCCAAUACCAAAAAACUAAAAG